rnacentral:rRNA from 1 species
UACGUAGGGUGCAGGCGUUAAUCGGAAUUACUGGGCGUAAAGCGUGCGCAGGCGGUCUGCUAAGAGAGGUGUGAAAUCCCCAGGCUUAACCUGGGAACUGCGUGUGAUACUGGAUGGCUUGAAUCCGGGAGAGGGAUGCGGAAUUCCAGGUGUAGCGGUGAAAUGCGUAGAGAUCGGGAGGAAGGCCGGUGGCGAAGGCGGCGCUCUGGAACAUUUCUGACGCUGAGGCUCGAAAGCGUGGGGAGCAAACAGG